rnacentral:rRNA from 1 species
AUUGAACGCUGGCGGCAGGCCUAACACAUGCAAGUCGAGCGGUAGCAGGCCUUCGGGCGCUGACGAGCGGCGGACGGGUGAGGAACACGUAGGAAUUUGCCUGGUAGUGGGGGAUAGCCCAGAGAAAUUUGGAGUAAUACCGCAUAUGCCCUGAGGGGAAAGUGGGGACCGCAAGGCCUCACGCUAUUAGAGAAGCCUGCGUCGGAUUAGCUAGUUGGUAGGGUAAAGGCCUACCAAGGCGACGAUCCGUAGCUGGUCUGAGAGGAUGAUCAGCCACACUGGGACUGAGACACGGCCCAGACUCCUACGGGAGGCAGCAGUGGGGAAUAUUGGACAAUGGGCGAAACCCUGAUCUAGCCAUGCCGCGUGAGCGAUGAAGGCCUUAGGGUUGUAAAGCUCUUUCAGCUGGGAAGAUAAUGACGGUACCAGCAGAAGAAGCCCCGGCUAACUCCGUG